rnacentral:rRNA from 1 species
UACAGAGGUCCCGAGCGUUGUUCGGAUUCACUGGGCGUAAAGGGUGCGUAGGUGGUGAGGUAAGUCGGAUGUGAAAGCUCCAAGCUCAACUUGGAAAUGGCAUUGGAAACUACCUUGCUAGAGGGUUUGAGGGGGGACUGGAAUACUUGGUGUAGCAGUGAAAUGCGUAGAUAUCAAGUGGAACACCGGUGGCGAAGGCGAGUCCCUGGAAAACUCCUGACACUGAGGCACGAAAGCUAGGGGAGCAAACAGG